GGAUUGUGGCUCAAUGGUAGAGCACUUGCCUAGCAUGUGUGAGGCCCUGGGUUCAAGUCUCAGUACCG
rnacentral:tRNA from 1 species